UCGAACGGACGAGGAGGAGCUUGCUUCUCCAAGUCAGUGGCGGACGGGUGAGUAACGCGUGAGUAACCUGCCCUUCAGAGGGGGAUAACGUCUGGAAACGGACGCUAAUACCGCAUGACAUAUUUCCAUCGCAUGGUGGAGAUAUCAAAGGAGCAAUCCGCUGAAGGAUGGACUCGCGUCCGAUUAGAUAGUUGGCGGGGUAACGGCCCACCAAGUCGACGAUCGGUAGCCGGACUGAGAGGUUGAACGGCCACAUUGGGACUGAGACACGGCCCAGACUCCUACGGGAGGCAGCAGUGGGGGAUAUUGCACAAUGGGCGAAAGCCUGAUGCAGCAACGCCGCGUGAGGGAAGACGGUUUUCGGAUUGUAAACCUCUGUUCUAAGUGACGAACAAAUGACGGUAGCUUAGGAGAAAGCCCCGGCUAACUACGUGCCAGCAGCCGCGGUAAUACGUAGGGGGCAAGCGUUGUCCGGAAUUACCGGGUGUAAAGGGAGCGCAGGCGGAGAAGCAAGUCAGUGGUGAAAACGAUGGGCUUAACUCAUCGACUGCCAUUGAAACUGUUUCCCUUGAGUGAAGUAGAGGCAGGCGGAAUUCCGAGUGUAGCGGUGAAAUGCGUAGAUAUUCGGAGGAACACCAGUGGCGAAGGCGGCCUGCUGGGC
rnacentral:rRNA from 1 species